rnacentral:rRNA from 1 species
UACGUAGGCAGCAAGCGUCGUUCGGAGUUACUGGGCGUAAAGGGUGUGUAGGCGGUUGUUUAAGUUUGGUGUGAAAUCUCCCGGCUCAACUGGGAGGGUGCGCCGAAUACUGAAUGACUUGGAGUGCGGGAGAGGAAAGUGGAAUUCCUGGUGUAGCGGUGAAAUGCGUAGAUAUCGCUUGGAACGCCGGCGGUGAAAACGGACAGCUGGGGGUCAGCCGACGCUGAGACACGAAAGCCAGGGGAGCGAACAGG